UACGUAGGGUGCGAGCGUUAAUCGGAAUUACUGGGCGUAAAGCGUGCGCAGGCGGUUUUGUAAGACAGGUGUGAAAUCCCCGGGCUCAACCUGGGAAUUGCGAUGGAGACUGCAAGGCUAGAAUCUGGCAGAGGGGGGUAGAAUUCCACGUGUAGCAGUGAAAUGCGUAGAGAUGUGGAGGAACACCGAUGGCGAAGGCAGCCCCCUGGGCCAAUACUGACGCUCAUGCACGAAAGCGUGGGGAGCAAACAGG
rnacentral:rRNA from 1 species